rnacentral:rRNA from 1 species
GUUGGCGGGGUAAUGGCCCACCAAGGCAACGAUGCGUAGCCGACCUGAGAGGGUGAUCGGCCACAUUGGGACUGAGACACGGCCCAAACUCCUACGGGAGGCAGCAGUAGGGAAUCUUCCGCAAUGGACGAAAGUCUGACGGAGCAACGCCGCGUGAGUGAAGAAGGCCUUCGGGUCGUAAAACUCUGUUGCCGGGGAAGAACAAGUGCCGUUCGAACAGGGCGGCGCCUUGACGGUACCCGACCAGAAAGCCACGGCUAACUACGUGCCAGCAGCCGCGGUAAUACGUAGGUGGCAAGCGUUGUCCGGAAUUAUUGGGCGUAAAGCGCGCGCAGGCGGCUUCUUAAGUCUGAUGUGAAAUCUUGCGGCUCAACCGCAAGCGGUCAUUGGAAACUGGGAGGCUUGAGUGCAGAAGAGGAGAGUGGAAUUCCACGUGUAGCGGUGAAAUGCGUAGAGAUGUGGAGGAACACCAGUGGCGAAGGCGGCUCUCUGGUCUGUAACUGACGCUGAGGCGCGAAAGCGUGGGGAGCAAACAGGAUUAGAUACCCUGGUAGUCCACGCCGUAAACGAUGAGUGCUAAGUGUUAGAGGGUUUCCGCCCUUUAGUGCUGCAGCUAACGCAUUAAGCACUCCGC